rnacentral:lncRNA from 1 species
AAAGGUUACUUAGCUUUCAGAACUACUGAAUGGUCCUUGAACUCAAAUUUUUUGUAACCUUCAACGCGCCGUUAAUCUGCCGCUGCAUUCCCUUGAACUCCGCGAGCGCUACCGCCGCGAACUCCACUAGUCACCAUCGUUAUCUCUUGUCGCUCAUCAGAUCGCCACCACGAUCUCCGACCUUCAUUAUAGGAGUCGUCGAUCGCAUGAAUGAUUCCUAGGAAGUAAAACUCCCUAACUGUCGCUUAUUGUCUCCCUCCAUGAUUCGGUGCCGCCACCUCUUCUUUUCUCUCACUUCCUCAUUCCUCAAAAUCCAUUAGGUUCGGGGAAACAAGACCAAAU